rnacentral:rRNA from 1 species
UACGGAAGGCAGCAGUGGGGAAUAUUGCACAAUGGGCGCAAGCCUGAUGCAGCCAUGCCGCGUGUAUGAAAAAGGCCUUCGGGUUGUAAAGUACUUUCAGUCGUGAGGAAGGUGUUAAGGUUAAUAACCUUAGCAAUUGACGUUAGCGACAGAAGAAGCACCGGCUAACUCCGUGCCAGCAGCCGCGGUAAUACGGAGGGUGCGAGCGUUAAUCGGAAUUACUGGGCGUAAAGGGCACGCAGGCGGUUAAUUAAGUUGGAUGUGAAAUCCCCGGGCUUAACCUGGGAAUGGCAUUCAAGACUGGUUAGCUAGAGUCUUGUAGAGGGGGUAGAAUUCCAUGUGUAGCGGUGAAAUGCGUAGAGAUGUGGAGGAAUACCGGUGGCGAAGGCGGCCCCUGGACAAAGACUGACGCUCAUGUGCGAAAGCGUGGGGAGCAAACAGGGAU